AACGCACAUUGCGCUCCUUGGUAUUCCGGGGAGCACGCCUGUUUGAGAAUCAGUAAACUUCAUCGGCAACUAUUUGGGGCUCUUUCGGGAGCUUCAGACUGAUGCCGGAUGUGGGCCUUUUGCUUGCUUAACUGCGAUCAAUGGCCUGAAACUGAAUGUCAUGAAAUCACUGGACACCUGUCUUACAAGGAUUUCAAGCGCAUGAGAGAGUGUUUACACUUUUUAGUACGUUUGGCCACCUUUGAUGGGUUUAAGAUCGGUUGAUUGAGUCGACUCACCAAUUAUACAAAGCUUGGGAGCGCUAGCUUUCAGGCUUUGAACACUUGGUCUCAAAUCAGGUGGGAAAACCCGCUGAACUUAA
rnacentral:misc_RNA from 1 species